CUACGUGCCAGCAGCCGCGGUAAUACGGAAGGUCCAGGCGUUAUCCGGAUUUAUUGGGUUUAAAGGGAGCGUAGGCUGGAGAUUAAGUGUGUUGUGAAAUGUAGACGCUCAACGUCUGAAUUGCAGCGCAUACUGGUUUCCUUGAGUACGCACAACGUUGGCGGAAUUCGUCGUGUAGCGGUGAAAUGCUUAGAUAUGACGAAGAACUCCGAUUGCGAAGGCAGCUGACGGGAGCGCAACUGACGCUUAAGCUCGAAGGUGCGGGUAUCAAACAGGAUUAGAUACCCUGGUAGUCCGCACAGUAAACGAUGGAUGCCCGCUGUUGGUACCUGGUAUCAGCGGCUAAGCGAGAGCAUUAAGCAUCCCACCUGGGGAGUACGCCGGCAACGGUGAAACUCAAAGGAAUUGACGGGGGCCCGCACAAGCGGAGGAACAUGUGGUUUAAUUCGAUGAUACGCGAGGAACCUUACCCGGGCUUGAAUUGCAGACGAACGAUUCAGAGA
rnacentral:rRNA from 1 species